GACGAACGCUGGCGGCGUGCUUAACACAUGCAAGUCGAACGAAAAUACCAAGCUUGCUUGGUUGAUUAGUGGCGAACGGGUGAGUAACACGUGAGUAACCUGCCCCUUACUUUCCUGGAUAACUGCUCGAAAGGGUAGCUAAUACGGGAUAUUCUGACCAGCCUGCAUGGGUUGGUUUGGAAAGGUUGUUUUUCUGGUAAGGGAUGGGCUCGCGGCCUAUCAGCUUGUUGGUGGGGUGAUGGCCUACCAAGGCUUUGACGGGUAGCCGGCCUGAGAGGGUGGACGGUCACACUGGGACUGAGAUACGGCCCAGACUCCUACGGGAGGCGGCAGUGGGGAAUAUUGCACAAUGGGCGCAAGCCUGAUGCAGCGACGCCGCGUGAGGGAUGAAGGCCUUCGGGUUGUAAACCUCUUUCGUCAGGGAACAAGGCACUACUUUUUUGGUGGUGUUGAGGGUACCUGGAUAAGAAGCGCCGGCUAACUACGUG
rnacentral:rRNA from 1 species